rnacentral:rRNA from 1 species
UACGUAGGGGGCAAGCGUUGUCCGGAUUUAUUGGGCGUAAAGAGCGUGUAGGCGGUCAGGUAGGUCCGUUGUGAAAACUCGAGGCUCAACCUCGAGACGCCGAUGGAAACCAUCUGACUAGAGUCCGGAAGAGGAGAGUGGAAUUCCGUGGUGUAGCGGUGAAAUGCGCAGAUAAUCAGGAAGAACACCCGUGGCUAAGGCGGCUCUCUAGUACGGUACUGACGCUGAGACGCGAAAGCGUGGGGAGCGAACAGG